AGCACAGCGCCGGUGAAGUUGCUCAGGGCUGGCAGGCAG
rnacentral:SRP_RNA from 1 species